UACACAGUAUAGCUUAAUAUCUAAAGCACCCCGCUUACACCGGAUAAAUUUCUGUGAAACCCAGAUUACUGUGAGCCAACCUUCUAGCCCUAAUUCACCACAUGUCACCCUCACAAUCUAAUCUAUUAAUUAAAACAUUUUAACAGCCUAGUAAAGGAGAUUGAAAACCCACUUAGAGCUACAAAAAGAGUACCGCAAGGGAAAGAUGAAAUAAAAAUGAAACAAAUUUUAAGCAAAGAACAGUAGAGAAGAACUCUCGUACCUUUUGCAUCAUGGUUUAACUAGUCUAACCAAGCAAAAAGCCCUUCAGUUUGACCCCCCGAAACUAAACGAGCUACUUUGAGGCAGCUUACUGAGCUAACCCAUCUCUGUUGAAAAAGAGUGGGGAGACCCCUAAGUAGAGGUGAUAAACCUACCGAGUUUAGUAAUAGCUGGUUGCUUAAGAAAAGGACCUAAGUCCACACUAAACUGAUCUCUAUAUAAAAAUAUUCCCUUUAAUUUAGAUUUAUUCAAGUAAGGUACAGCCUGCUUGAAAAAGGAUACAACCUUCUCAUAUGGGUAAUACAUGUAACUUCUACAACUAAGUGGGCCUAAAAGCAGCCACCUUAAACAACAGCGUCAUAGCUUAAUUGUAAGUAAACCUGAUUACACUCACUUUAUAAAACCCUACACCACUAUUAAGCAAUUCUAUGCCUACUAUAGAAAAUUUUAUGUUAAAACUAGUAACAAGAAGCUAUACUUCUCUUAAAUGCAAACACACAUCAAACUGGACAAACCAUCGAUAAAUAACAUUUAUACAUUUCUAGUAGUAACCAAACAAGAAAAUUCUACUUCCCUUAAUGUUAACCUAACACAAGAGCAUUACAAGAAAGAUUAAAAGAAAAAGAAGGAACUCGGCAAACAUUGACCCCGCCUGUUUACCAAAAACAUCGCCUCUUGCCUCAUAUAAGAGGUCCAGCCUGCCCAGUGACACUGUUCAACGGCCGCGGUAUCCUAACCGUGCGAAGGUAGCGUAAUCACUUGUUCUUUAAAUGAGGACUAGUAUGAAAGGCAUCACGAGAGUCAUACUGUCUCCUUUCUCUAAUCAGUGAAACUAAUCCCCCCGUGAAGAAGCGAGGAUAAAAAUAUAAGACGAGAAGACCCUAUGGAGCUUUAAACAAAUGAUACUUACCAACCUUUAUUAAAUUUCAGAAAAAUUUCCCUAUUUUGGUAUUAUAAUUAUUAGUUUUUGGUUGGGGUGACCACGGAAUAAAAAACAACUUCCGCAAUGAAAACACUUCACUUAGUUAAGGACUACAAUCCUAUUCAUCAACAAAUUGACAUUAUUGACCCAACUCGUUGAUCAAUGAACCA
rnacentral:rRNA from 1 species